rnacentral:rRNA from 1 species
GUGAGUAACACGUGAGCAAUCUGCCCCUGACUCUGGGAUAACAGUUGGAAACAGCUGCUAAUACCGGAUACGAGACGUGACCGCAUGGUCGACGUUUGGAAAGAAUUUCGGUCAGGGAUGAGCUCGCGGCCUAUCAGCUUGUUGGUGAGGUAAUGGCUCACCAAGGCGUCGACGGGUAGCCGGCCUGAGAGGGUGACCGGCCACACUGGGACUGAGACACGGCCCAGACUCCUACGGGAGGCAGCAGUGGGGAAUAUUGCACAAUGGGCGAAAGCCUGAUGCAGCAACGCCGCGUGAGGGACGACGGCCUUCGGGUUGUAAACCUCUUUUAGCAGGGAAGAAGCGAAAGUGACGGUACCUGCAGAAAAAGCGCCGGCUAACUACGUGCCAGCAGCCGCGGUAAUACGUAGGGCGCAAGCGUUAUCCGGAAUUAUUGGGCGUAAAGAGCUCGUAGGCGGUUUGUCGCGUCUGCUGUGAAAACUGGAGGCUCAACCUCCAGCCUGCAGUGGGUACGGGCAGACUAGAGUGCGGUAGGGGAGAUUGGAAUUCCUGGUGUAGCGGUGGAAUGCGCAGAUAUCAGGAGGAACACCGAUGGCGAAGGCAGAUCUCUGGGCCGUAACUGACGCUGAGGAGCGAAAGGGUGGGGAGCAAACAGGCUUAGAUACCCUGGUAGUCCACCCCGUAAACGUUGGGAACUAGU